ACAACUUUCAGCAACGGAUCUCUUGGCUCUCGCAUCGAUGAAGAACGCAGCGAAAUGCGAUAAGUAAUGUGAAUUGCAGAAUUCAGUGAAUCAUCGAAUCUUUGAACGCACCUUGCGCUCCUUGGUAUUCCGAGGAGCAUGCCUGUUUGAGUGUCAUUAAAUUCUCAACCCUUAUAACUUUUGUGAGCUAUUAGGGCUUGGAAAUGGGAGUUUGCGGGCCUUAUAGAGGUCAGCUCUCCUGAAAUGCA
rnacentral:rRNA from 1 species